GGUGGGCCCAGUCCCGGGGCGGUGCGGCUGUUUCGGGCGCGGGCCCCGCUUUUCCGCACCCUGCUCCGGCCUCGACCACGGCGAGCCUGAGCGCGGCGGCGGCCCACGCGCAGCGACAGGGAGAGGUGAGCGCGCUCGCAGGCCUGCGCCGGGUCCUCGGGCCCGCUCGUCCGCCCCGCCGGAGCCGGCCACAGCGGCGGCCCGGGGCUGCGGGGGACCCUGCGCGACGCUUUCCCGUUCGCGCCCGCCGCCCGCGGGGCCCCGGCCCGAGCCUGCCUGAGCGGAACCCGAGGUGGCUAUUAUCAUGGAAAACUAAUCUUUCCCAGAGAAUUUCCUUUCAAACCUCCUAGUAUUUAUAUGAUCACUCCCAAUGGAAGAUUUAAGUGCAACACCAGGUAAGGUGCCUGGAGGGGCUGUGGAAGCUUUCUGGCUGCGGUGGGGAGUGUGCACUGACGGGGCCGCCGUUUCGCAGGCUGUGUCUUUCUAUCACGGAUUUCCACCCGGACACGUGGAACCCGGCCUGGUCUGUCUCCACCAUCCUGACUGGGCUCCUGAGCUUCAUGGUGGAGAAGGGCCCCACCCUGGGCAGUAUAGAGACGUCGGACUUCACGAAAAGACAACUGGCAGCGCAGAGUUUAGCAUUUAAUUUGAAAGAUAAAGUCUUUUGUGAAUUAUUUCCUGAAGUCGU
rnacentral:sRNA from 1 species